rnacentral:rRNA from 1 species
AUUGAACGCUGGCGGCAUGCUUUACACAUGCAAGUCGAACGGUAACAGGCCUUCGGGUGCUGACGAGUGGCGAACGGGUGAGUAAUGCAUCGGAACGUGCCCAGAGGUGGGGGAUAACGCAGCGAAAGCUGUGCUAAUACCGCAUGUGAUCUGAGGAUGAAAGCGGGGGACCAAGCAGCAAUGUUUGGCCUCGCGCCUCUGGAGCGGCCGAUGUCAGAUUAGGUAGUUGGUGGGGUAAAGGCCUACCAAGCCGACGAUCUGUAGCUGGUCUGAGAGGACGACCAGCCACACUGGGACUGAGACACGGCCCAGACUCCUACGGGAGGCAGCAGUGGGGAAUUUUGGACAAUGGGCGCAAGCCUGAUCCAGCAAUGCCGCGUGCGGGAAGAAGGCCUUCGGGUUGUAAACCGCUUUUGUACGGAACGAAAAGGCUCUGGCUAAUACCUGGGGCUGAUGACGGUACCGUAAGAAUAAGCACCGGCUAGCUACGUGCCAGCAGCCGCGGUAAUACGUAGGGUGCGAGCGUUAAUCGG